GGGCAUGCGUGGUUUUGACAAAAACAUAUUUUAGAGAACUCAAGUAGGAAGGCCCUGCCUUAAAUCGGGCAAAAUUUUACAAAUGCCAAGUUAAUAAAGAUUAUUGCUUUAUAUACUUGAUCAGCAUAAGAGCUUUUGUUUGUUUUUAAACUUAUGCUUAAAUUUAAAACAAACUACACUUGUAAAAUGCUCUAUGAAUAGUUUUUGGACGGCGGUUCGAUUCCGCCCAUGUCCACAA
rnacentral:tmRNA from 1 species